UACGUAGGGACCGAGCGUUGUCCGGAUUCAUUGGGCGUAAAGAGCUCGUAGGCGGCUGCUCAAGUCGAAUGUGAAACCGUCGAGGCUUAACCUCGAGCCUGCAUUCGAUACUGGGCGGCUAGAGUCUGGUAGGGGGAUCUGGAAAUUCCUGGUGUAGCGGUGGAAUGCGCAGAUAUCAGGAGGAACACCGGUGGCGAAGGCGGGAUCCUGGGCCAGUACUGACGCUGAGGAGGCGAAAAGCGGUGGGGAGCAAACAGG
rnacentral:rRNA from 1 species